rnacentral:ncRNA from 1 species
AAAAAUACAAAGAAGAGGAAAGUAGAUGAUGAGAAGCGUUUCAGAGAGCCGCCUUAUAGCUGGAAGGGUGGUAACGAUUGCAUCAUUAAAAAUCACCUCGGAGUACUAUUUGCGAAAGGGAAACUGAGUAGAAAAUGGCGGGAUCGUCUCCGUUAAUAGGACGGGAGUCUAUUAGGACUUACAGAGCUUAUAUUUCGCGAGAAGUAUAAGGAAGCUGAGUGGUACCGCGAAACUCUCGCCUCAGCA